rnacentral:misc_RNA from 1 species
GACGAAGAACGUAGCGAAAUGCGAUAAGUAGUGUGAAUUGCAGAAUUCCGUGAAUCAUCGAAUCUUUGAACGCACAUUGCGCCUUCUGGUAUUCCGGAAGGCAUGCCUGUUCGAGCGUCAUUGCUGCCCUCAAGCACGGCUUGUGUGUUGGGCCUCCGUCCUCCUCCCGGGGGACGGGCCCGAAAGGCAGCGGCGGCACCGCGUCCGGUCCUCGAGCGUAUGGGGCUUCGUCACCCGCUCUUGUAGGCCCGGCCGGCGCUUGCCGACACAUCAAUCUUUUUUCCAGGUUGACCUCGGAUCAGGUAGGGAUACCCGCUGAACUUAAGCAUAUCAAUAAGCGGAGGA